AGUGAACGCUGGCGGUAGGCCUAACACAUGCAAGUCGAACGGCAGCACAGGAGAGCUUGCUCUCUGGGUGGCGAGUGGCGGACGGGUGAGGAAUACAUCGGAAUCUACUUUUUCGUGGGGGAUAACGUAGGGAAACUUACGCUAAUACCGCAUACGACCUACGGGUGAAAGCAGGGCAUCUUCGGACCUUGCGCGAUUGAAUGAGCCGAUGUCGGAUUAGCUAGUUGGCGGGGUAAAGGCCCACCAAGGCGACGAUCCGUAGCUGGUCUGAGAGGAUGAUAAGCCACACUGGAACUGAGACACGGUCCAGACUCCUACGGGAGGCAGCAGUGGGGAAUAUUGGACAAUGGGCGCAAGCCUGAUCCAGCCAUACCGCGUGGGUGAAGAAGGCCUUCGGGUUGUAAAGCCCUUUUGUUGGGAAAGAAAUCCAGCUGGUUAAUACCCGGUUGGGAUGACGGUACCCAAAGAAUAAGCACCGGCUAACUUCGUGCCAGCCGCCGCGGUAA
rnacentral:rRNA from 1 species